AAUACAUGCAAGUCGUGGGGCAGCAUGGGGUACCAAUACUCUGAUGGCGACCGGCAAACGGGUGAGGAACAUGUACGCAACCUUCCUUUAACUGGAGAAUAGCCCCUCGAAAGAGGGAUUAAUACUCCGUAACAUAAUGAUAAGGCAUCUUAUUAUUAUUAUAUCUUCGGCGGUUAAAGAUGGGCGUGCAUCUGAUUACAUAGUUGGCGGGGUAACGGCCCACCAAGUCUGCGAUCAGUAAUUGGUGUGAGAGCACGACCAGUCACACGGGCACUGAGACACGGGCCCGACUCCUACGGGAGGCAGCAGUAAGGAAUAUUGGUCAAUGGACGCAAGUCUGAACCAGCCAUGCCGCGUGGAGGAUUAAGGCCUCUGGGUUGUAAACUCCCUUU
rnacentral:rRNA from 1 species